AGACACACAUUUUUUUUUCAGUUAAGACAUCAUUACUUUUGCCAAAUAUAUCGCUUGGGUGACUAUGUGAUGUAAAACCGUGUAUUGUGAGUUACAAUGCACAUCCAUUUAAGGCCAGGCAGGAUAUAGUGAAUCUAUUGGAAGAGAUCGUUGAACUUUUCACACGCCCUUGUUUAUGACUCUGUCGUCCAAAACAAAAUAGAUCAUGUCUUAUUAAAGAUCAAGGUUACAAUUUUAAUAUAAAAGCUAGUUGUAAGUGAAGCUCUGUAUGAUUCAGUACUUGUACUUACUCGAAACAAACAACAUGUUCAACAAAUUCGUCGUUUUCUUCGCUCUGUUGGCCGUGUCUCUGGCCGCUCCAAACCCUAAGGCAGCGCCAGAACCAGCUCCGCAAUUUCUCCCAUACACGAGCCUGGACUACGUUUAUACACCCGGCUUAGUACCCUCCGUGGUAUCUCCAUACGCCUCUGCUGCUGGUGCUGUUCCCAUCACUUACUCUGCACUGCCCUCGGCAACUUAUUACGUUCGUUAAAGAAAGAAGAUUUCGCGCCAUCUCUCCAAAUGAUUUCUGUGCUUUUCUGGAUUAUGCAUUAAAUCUCAACCAUAUUCAAA